rnacentral:rRNA from 1 species
GGCGAACGGGUGAGUAACACGUGGGCAACCUGCCCCGGACACCGGGAUAACCCAGGGAAACCUGAGCUAAUACCGGAUACUCCGGCGCGAUCGCAUGGUCGUGCCGGGAAAGCUCCGACGGUCCGGGAUGGGCCCGCGGCCUAUCAGCUUGUUGGUGGGGUAACGGCCCACCAAGGCGACGACGGGUAGCUGGUCUGAGAGGACGGCCAGCCACACUGGGACUGAGACACGGCCCAGACUCCUACGGGAGGCAGCAGUGGGGGAUCUUGCGCUAAUGCGCGAAAGCGUGACGCAGCGACGCCGCGUGGGGGAUGAAGGCCUUCGGGUUGUAAACCCCUUUCGGCAGGGACGAAGGGAAACUGACGGUACCUGCAGAAGAAGUCCCGGCUAACUACGUGCCAGCAGCCGCGGUAACACGUAGGGGACGAGCGUUGUCCGGAUUCAUUGGGCGUAAAGCGCGCGUAGGCGGCUCGGAAAGUCGGUCGUGAAAUGCCGGGGCUCAACCCCGGGACUGCGUCCGAUACUUCCGGGCUGGAGGUAGGUAGGGGAGAUCGGAAUUCCUGGUGUAGCGGUGAAAUGCGCAGAUAUCAGGAGGAACACCGGUGGCGAAGGCGGAUCUCUGGGCCUUACCUGACGCUGAGGCGCGAAAGCUAGGGGAGCGAACAGGAUUAGAUACCCUGGUAGUCC